AUGGUUUGCACACUUGGGUGCCAGGUACAGGGUGUCUCCGCUUUCGGGGACACCGUAGGUGCUGGCUACACCCCUCUUCCCUGCAGAAAGUGCCCUGUUCUCUCCAUUUGGGGCUGGAUUUUUCCACCCAAACCAGUACAAGAGCACCUGUUUAGGAGGAGAAUUACCAGUCCAAAAAACAAAACCCCACAGGGAAGGAGGGGGUGCAGCUCCAAAGAGCAAGGAGGGGACGACCCCCCCCCCCGGUUGCCUGGGACCAAAUCCAUCACGCUGCCCACGUUGACCUCAAGCACCGCAGCUCCGGCUUCAGCAUCUCUCCCACCUUCGGAUGAGGGAGGGGGUCCUUCCCCACCAAAAUUCGGGACUGGGGGGGUCAGACCCACGCCUCCUCGUCAUCCUCGGUCAGCCAGGCACCGCUGUCGGCCGGCGAGGGCUUGGCCCCGGAGCGGGUGCCACUGGGCUGGGGGUGCCGGGGUGGUCCCGGGGGGUGAUGCUGGCCCCGGGGGGCUGGCGGGCGCUGGCCCAGCGGGGUGGGGAUACGCGAGGGGCGCUUGCCCGGCCUGUGGUCCCGCCGGGGACGAGCCUUGGGCCGCAGCUUCAGCUUGUAGAUGGAGGGCACGCGCUCGGGUUUCUUCAGGCACCGCCGGGGCUUGGGGACGUUGCUGGCCCUGGGUCCCCGUGGGGUCUGACCCCCGGCUCCCGGCACCUCCGCCUCCCCUCGAGCCGGGAGGGCGGUGGGCUGAGGGGCGGCUUGCGGGGGUGUUUUGGGGACCCAGUUCCCCAGCCCCACGGGGCGCAGGGGUUGCCUCCCACGGGAGAGCUCCUCUACCACCUUGCCGUAGCCGGGGGGCUGCACGUGUCCCCAGCAUCCCUGGAGACGCUCGUUCCCUCCGCUGGGGCCACAGCCUCCCCCCGGUUUGUCCGCUGGCACCCCAGGUCCCUCAGCACCCCCAGCCCUUGAACUUGGGUCUGGGUGGCACUGCUGGGUUCCCUGGGGACCCCCCCCAGCAUCGCAGACCUUGCACCCAGCUGCAAAAUGAGCCGCAGGGCUGGGGGGCCGGCAGACCGCCGGGCUGGCUCUGA
rnacentral:lncRNA from 1 species